GGGUCUGUGAGCAGCCUGUUUCCGAGACAGACGCUGACGCCGGUGGACACUGGCAUCAUGUCUGGGGGACAAGAGGUCCCGAGUUCAAAUCUCGGCAGCCCGACCA
rnacentral:tRNA from 1 species